UCCAUUGGGGCAACAUAAAUCCAGUUAUUUGCUCUAACGCCUUACAAAACAGUUGUUUUUUUAGCGGUCUGUUUAUUUGCAGGCAGAAAAGAUGCUUAUUUCAGUCUCCAUCCAACGAGGGAAUUUUUCUUUUCUUUUUAAAAAGGACGGAAGGGCUAUGGCGAUAUUGAAGAUCCUCUCCCGGACGAAAAAAAGGGGACAAGCACAGAGAGAGAAACAAGAGAGACAAGUCAGGACAACAGAAACCGGAGAGAAGUAAUCAGAACAGAGAGGAGAGGAGAUGGAUGGAGCGGUGGAGAGGAGGACAUGAGCGCCUUAAGCCACUGUGACUGCUGGGAAUGUCUCCUGUGCUGAGAAAUUUUUAUGUUUGAUGCAUCGCCCCCAUCUGGUCGCAAGAGUAACUGCACUGCAUUGAUAAGACGGAUAGGUCAUGCUGCUCAGGUGAGGCCUUUUCACUCUGUUUCCUCAUUUUAAUAAUGUUUCGUGGAUUUUUCAGCAGCACCACACUCACUGAUGAAUGGCUUUGGCCUGUUUGGAUCACAGACACCUGUUGUUGUUCCAAUGCAGC